GCCCCCAUAGCUCAGCGGAUAGAGCGCAGCCCUCCGGAGGCUGAAGCCCAGGUUCGAGUCCUGGUGGGGGCA
rnacentral:tRNA from 1 species